UACGUAGGUGGCGAGCGUUAUCCGGAUUUACUGGGUGUAAAGGGCGAGUAGGCGGGAUUGCAAGUCAGAUGUGAAAACUAUGGGCUCAACCGAUAGAGUGCAUUUGAAACUGCAGUUCUUGAGUGAUGGAGAGGCAGGCGGAAUUCCCGGUGUAGCGGUGGAAUGCGCAGAUAUUGGGAAGAACACCGGCGGCGAAGGCGGCCUUCUGGGCCACGACUGACGCUGAGGCGCGAAAGCUAGGGGAGCGAACAGG
rnacentral:rRNA from 1 species